rnacentral:sRNA from 2 species
AUGUACCACUCGUCUACUUCGGUUCUUGUGCGCUUUCCGCACUCACCUGACGACUGCUCGCUACGUUUUGUCAGCC